UGCUGCCAUCAUGUAAGAAGAGCCUUUCACCUCCCGCCGUGAUUCUGAGGCUUCCCCAGCCACGUGGAACGGUUCCACUUCCCACAACACCUCUGCCACCAACCAAUUGAGGGUCUUCAGGAGAAGUGUUCUUAUCUGUGCAAUAGAGCCUGCCAGAAGGGGCACCUGGCAACCCUCUUCAGAGGCUUGAUCCUGUGCUGCAGAAACCUAUGGACCUGCUCAACCUGUGCACUGGAAUUCCAGGGAUAGACUGAGCUGUCCCUAGGAGGCUGGGAGCAUUCUCCAGCAGAGACCAGCAACUGCCUCCUGCCUGGAGAAUCUGGAAGGAGGAAGGGCGGCUGGAAUCACCUGUGAUGACUCCAGUGUGUCAGAGAAGACAGGAAGACCAAGAAACAGCCAAGGAGAGGGGCUGAGGAAUGAGAGAUGGAGGAGACAACAGAUUGUCCUUCCCAUUGCCAAACCUUAGGCCGGGCCUGAGGGGAUCAGACUGGGCAAUUGAAUCCUCAAAGGUUCCUGGAAGGACUACUUAGGAAUUGAAUGUGCUGAGACUUCCUCUCAAAGGAGCCCCUCCUUCUUAAAUGAAUCCAGGAGAGAAGUUCUGAAGACUGUGGUCUAUGCUAAAGGAAUGCAGAUAUUUAUAAAUGGUCAUCUGCAUUGAAUGAACCAAGUCCAAAUGACAAUCAAGGAGAACUGUAAACAUAGGAAAAGAGGGCUGAACCCAUGCUUCCAGGGAAGGAAGAAGAGAGAGAGAAAGAGAAGAGAAGAGAGAGAGAGAGAGACUGACUUGGACUCAGACUUGUGUACACAUGGAGAAUAGCGUCUGGCGCCAAGAACGCAGAGCGGCUGAGAACUGGUGUUUCUCCUCUUAGGAAAGAAAAUGACAGGGAAAGGAAGAAAAAU
rnacentral:lncRNA from 1 species